CGUAAUGUAGCUUAACCAAAGCAUCUCGCUUACACCGAGAAAAUGCCCGUGAAAACCGAGCCAUUCCGA
rnacentral:tRNA from 1 species